CAGUAGCCGCGGGAAUUCGUAGGGUGCAAGCGUUAAUCGGAAUUACUGGGCGUAAAGCGUGCGCAGGCGGUUUGUUAAGACAGAUGUGAAAUCCCCGGGCUCAACCUGGGAACUGCAUUUGUGACUGGCAAGCUAGAGUGUGGCAGAGGGGGGUGGAAUUCCGCGUGUAGCAGUGAAAUGCGUAGAUAUGCGGAGGAACACCGAUGGCGAAGACAGCCCCCUGGGCCAAUACUGACGCUCAUGCACGAAAGCGUGAGGAGCAAACAGGAUUAGAUACCCCAGUAGUCCCUGUCUCUUAUAC
rnacentral:rRNA from 1 species